AAGUCGUAACAAGGUAACCGUAGGUGAACCUGCGGUUGGAUCAUUAAAAAUAUGAAAACCCACUCGUGGUGACCUUUGUCCCCACGAGUAUAAUCUAAAUACCACAUCUUGUGAACCGUACCGUCUUUGGUGGUGGGGUGGACGCUGCGGUCAGCAGCGCGCCAUCUGUCAGCUUGGAUCGAAAGCUCCGGGCCGUGGACAAGCCACCGCAUGUAUUCAAACCUUUGCUUCAUUCUGUAUUAAAUAUACAAACAACUUUUGGCAACGGAUCUCUUGGUUCUC
rnacentral:misc_RNA from 1 species